rnacentral:rRNA from 1 species
CCCCGCCAUAGCAAACUCCGAAUACCGAAGAGUGCAAUCACGGGAGACAGACAUCGGGUGCUAACGUCCGGUGUCAAGAGGGAAACAACCCAGACCGCCAGCUAAGGUCCCCAAAUAUGGCUAAGUGGGAAACGAAGUGGGAAGGCUAAAACAGUCAGGAGGUUGGCUUAGAAGCAGCCACCCUUUAAAGAAAGCGUAAUAGCUCACUGAUCGAGUCGUCCUGCGCGGAAGAUGUAACGGGGCUAAGCCAUAUACCGAAGCUGCGGAUGCGAGCUAGUCUCGCAUGGUAGGAGAGCGUUCCGUAAGCCUGCGAAGGUGCGUUGAAAAGCGUGCUGGAGGUAUCGGAAGUGCGAAUGCUGACAUGAGUAGCGAUAAAGGGGGUGAAAGGCCCCCUCGCCGUAAGCCCAAGGUUUCCUACGCAACGUUCAUCGGCGUAGGGUGAGUCGGCCCCUAAGGCGAGGCAGAAAUGCGUAGCUGAUGGGAAGCAGGUCAAUAUUCCUGCACCAUUGUUAGAUGCGAUGGGGGGACGGAUCGCGGAAGGUUGUCCGGGUGUUGGAAGUCCCGGUCGCUGCAUUGGAGAAGGCGCUUAGGCAAAUCCGGGCGCAGGAUUCAAGGGUGUGGCGCGAGCUCCUUCGGGAGCGAAGCAAUUGGAAGUGGUUCCAAGAAAAGCCUCUAAGCUUCAGUCUAACGAUGACCGUACCGCAAACCGACACAGGUGGGCGAGAUGAGUAUUCUAAGGCGCUUGAGAGAACUCGGGAGAAGGAACUCGGCAAAUUGGUACCGUAACUUCGGGAUAAGGUACGCCCUGGUAGCUUGACUGGCCUGCGCCAGAAGGGUGAAGGGGUUGCAAUAAACUGGUGGCUGCGACUGUUUAAUAAAAACACAGCACUCUGCAAACACGAAAGUGGACGUAUAGGGUGUGACGCCUGCCCGGUGCCGGAAGAUUAAAUGAUGGGGUGCAAGCUCUUGAUUGAAGUCCCGGUAAACGGCGGCCGUAACUAUAACGGUCCUAAGGUAGCGAAAUUCCUUGUCGGGUAAGUUCCGACCUGCACGAAUGGCGUAACGAUGGCCACACUGUCUCCUCCCGAGACUCAGCGAAGUUGAAGUGUUUGUGAUGAUGCAAUCUACCCGCGGCUAGACGGAAAGACCCCAUGAACCUUUACUGUAGCUUUGCAUUGGACUUUGAACCGAUCUGUGUAGGAUAGGUGGGAGGCUAUGAAACCGGAACGCUAGUUUCGGUGGAGCCGUCCUUGAAAUACCACCCUGGUUUGUUUGAGGUUCUAACCUUGGCCCGUGAUCCGGGUCGGGGACAGUGCAUGGUAGGCAGUUUGACUGGGGCGGUCUCCUCCCAAAGCGUAACGGAGGAGUACGAAGGUACGCUAGGUACGGUCGGAAAUCGUGCUGAUAGUGCAAUGGCAUAAGCGUGCUUAACUGCGAGACCGACAAGUCGAGCAGGUGCGAAAGCAGGUCAUAGUGAUCCGGUGGUUCUGUAUGGAAGGGCCAUCGCUCAACGGAUAAAAGGUACUCUGGGGAUAACAGGCUGAUACCGCCCAAGAGUUCAUAUCGACGGCGGUGUUUGGCACCUCGAUGUCGGCUCAUCUCAUCCUGGGGCUGUAGCCGGUCCCAAGGGUAUGGCUGUUCGCCAUUUAAAGAGGUACGUGAGCUGGGUUUAAAACGUCGUGAGACAGUUUGGUCCCUAUCUGCCGUGGGCGUUGGAAGUUUGAAGGGGGCUGCUCCUAGUACGAGAGGACCGGAGUGGACGAACCUCUGGUGUACCGGUUGUGACGCCAGUCGCAUCGCCGGGUAGCUAUGUUCGGAAGAGAUAACCGCUGAAAGCAUCUAAGCGGGAAACUCGCCUUAAGAUGAGACUUCCCCGGGGACUUGAUCCCCUUGAAGGGUCGUUCGAGACCAGGACGUUGAUAGGUCGGGUGUGUAAGCGCAGUAAUGCGUUCAGCUAACCGAUACUAAUUGCCCGUACGGCUUGAUC